UACAGAGGUCUCAAGCGUUGUUCGGAUUCAUUGGGCGUAAAGAGCGUGUAGGCGGCCAGGUAGGUCUGCUGUGAAAACUCGAGGCUCAACCUCGAGACGUCGGCGGAAACCAUCUGGCUAGAGUCCGGAAGAGGAGAGUGGAAUUCCUGGUGUAGCGGUGAAAUGCGCAGAUAUCAGGAAGAACACCCGUGGCGAAGGCGGCUCUCUGGGACGGUACUGACGCUGAGACGCGAAAGCGUGGGGAGCGAACAGG
rnacentral:rRNA from 1 species